GUGAAACCCCAUCUCUACUAAAAAUUCAAAAAAAUUAGCUGGGUGUGGUGGUGCACGCCUGUAAUCCCAACUACUCAAGAGGCUGAGGCAGGAGAAUCACUUGAACCUGGGAGGCGGAGGAUGCAGUGAGCCGAUAUCAUGCCACUGCGCUUCAGCCUGGGCAACACGAGUGAGACUUCGUCUUGGGAAAAAAAAAAAAAAAAAAGAGGUGUUGGUUAAGUGCACAAAUUCUAGAGCCAGACCAUCUGGCUCAACCCUUUCUCCUCCUGUUACUGACAGGGAAAACUUACACAAGGAGCUGAAUCUUUUUGUGCUUCAGUUUCCUCAGCUGUAAGAUAAUGAUGAUAAGCCAUCAUAUCUCAUUUGAUUCUUCCAGCAGCCUCAUGAAGAAACAAUAAUCCUCACCUCACUGAGAUACUGAGAGGACCAAGUGAAUUAGUUUGGGCCAAGUGCUUAGAAGAGCGCCUGGUAUAUAAGUGCUUUGUGUUUGCUUUUGUUGUUGUUGUUGUUAUUACCAGCUAAAAUGGAACUUCUAUGUAGCAAUAGUAUAAAUAUAGUUUAAAAUCCACUUGGCCCGCUGAAAUUGCCUUUGCAAAAUUAUAACAGUAAGAGAAAUCUGACAUAGCUGACUCUACUUGGCUUCUAACCUCUAAGCUAUCCUUGUUCAUUCCUGGGCAUAAGCCAAACUAACUUUUUUUUUUUAUUUUUUUUAUUUUUUUGAGACGGAGUCUCGCUCUGUCGCCCAGGCUAGAGUGCAGUGGCAUGGUCAAGACUCACUGCAACCUCUGCCUCCCAAGUUCAAGCGAUUAUCCUGCCUCAGCCUCCCGAGUAGCUGGGACCACAGGUGUGUGCUACCAUGCCAGGCUAAUUUUUUUUUUUUUUUUUUUUUUUUUUUUUUUUGAGACAGAGUCUUGCUCUGCUGCCUAGGCUGCAGUGCAGUGGCUCAGUCUCAGCUCACCUUAACCUCUGCCUCUCGAGUUCAAGCAAUUAUCUUGCCUCAGCCUCCCGGGUAGCUGGGAUUACAGGCCCUGCCACCACACCUGGCUAAUUUUUGUAUUUUUAGUAGGGACAGGUUUCACCAUGUUGGCCAGGCUAGGCUCGAACUCCCGACCUCAGGUGAUCCACCCACCUUGGCCUCCCAAAGUGCUGGGAUUAUAGGCGUGAGCCACUGUGCCCAGUGUAGGCCAAACUAACUUUAGGAGGAAGUUAUAGUUUAACCUUAAAGUAAAGAUAGUAAUAGCCCUUCCCAAAACUAUCCCUUCCUCAUUGGAGGUCAGGAAUCGUCUUUGUAGAACCAAUGAAAAGACACAAGAUUAGGAUUAUGAAGGGAGCCUGAAUUCUGCUAAGUUGUAGGCAUAAAUUAUAACCAACCAUCGGUCCAGAGGACACAAGAUUUGUAACUUCUCCAAUUUACUCCUGUAGAUAACAUCAUCAUUAUUGUAGAACCUAAGAUUGGUUUUCUUUUUCCUUUUUUUGGGGGGGUGGGGGUGGUGGGGGGACAGGGUUUCACUCCCGUCGACCAGGCUGGAGUGCAGUGGAGCCAUCUCGGCUCACUGCAACUUCUACCUCCUGGGUUCAAGCGAUUCUCCUGCCUCAGGCUCCCGAGUAGCUGGGAUUACAGGCACUCACGACCAUGCCCAGCUAAUUUUUGUAUUUUUAGUAGAGACAGGGUUUCACCAUGUUGGCCAGGCUGUUCUUAAACUCCUGACCUCAAGUAAUCCAUCCUCCUCGGCCUCCCAAAGUGCUGGGAUUACAGACGUGAGCCACCGCGCUCAGCCCUAAGGUUGGUCUUCUGAGAUGUUUUUCAGACUUGGAUUUCUGAGGACUGGCUGACUACACUCAGAUCCACAAAUCAACCAGUCCUGUAGCCCCACCCCAGAGACCGACUCUGCAUAAGGACCACUUUCCACACCCCUGUGAUUUCAUCUUCAUCCAACCAGCAGCAUCUGUUCCCUAAAUCCUGACUACCAAGUUAUUCUUAAAAACUCCAGCCUCCAAAUUUCCAGGGAGGCUGAUUUGAGUAAUAACUUCCUGUCUCCCCAUGUGACUAGCUUUGCAUUAAUUAAGCUCCAUCUUUACAACAAUACCAGUGUUUCAGUGAAUCAGCUCUACCUGUGCGGCAGGCAAGAACCCAUCAGGGGAUUGCACUACCAGUGAUCUACUUUUGAGACUCCUGCCUCUGCUUUUUUUUUUUUUUGAGACGGAGUUUUGUUCGCUCUUGUUGCCCAGGCUGGAGUGCAAUGUCGCAAUCUCAGCUCACUGCGACCUCCGCCUCCCCAGAUUCAAGCAAUUCUCCUGCCUCAGCCUCCCAAGUAGCUGGAAUUAUAGGUUCCUGCCACCAUGCCCAGCUAAUUUUUUGUAUUUUUAGCAGAGAUGGCGUUUCACUAUGUUGGCCAGGCUGGUCUCAAACUCCUGACCUCAGGAAUCCACCCCCCUUGGCCUCCCAAAGAGGUGGGAUUACAGGCGUGAGCCGCCGCACCUGGCCCGACUUUUGCUUUUAGUCGGGGAGAUUUUUAUUAUUUCAAAAUGUUUGUAUAUAUUGAAAUUUUUAAAAUCUUUUAUAUUGUACUAUUUUCAAUGCAUAAUUUAAAUGAACAUAAAACAAGUAUGCACUAUAGGAGCUUUAGGUGUUGUUGGGCUCAGAAUCCAAUACCCCAAAAUAUGGCAUUUUGACAUGUUGACAUGGAGAAACCUCAAGGUCUCUCUGACUUCCCCUGCCACCGUCUCCCACAAAGAAGUGGAAGUUCCUUUAUCUGCGUAAGAUUCAGACCCAUCAAAGAAAGUAAUUGCUUGUUCUUCCCCUCCCUGUAAGACCAAGAAUGUAACCACACCUGAACACUUUCACUAUCAAAGAGAACUAUUCACACAUUAAUCUCUGUUCAGAGAUCCAUUCAUUCUCCCUAGUAAUCCCCUCAGCAAUUCCUCUUCUCUUCACCUCCCAAAACCUGUUUUACCAGGAUUCAAGCCCCCAUUCUUUCUGUAACCUCCAGAUAGUAUAUAAACUUCUGGACCUCAUUGGGAGGCUAGGUCUUCAUUUUGAAGUCUCCCGUGUGUAUACGUUCAAUACAUUGGUAUGCCUUUUCUCCUAUUAAUAAAUCUGCCUGUCAGUGAUUUUGAAGCAAACCUUCAGGGGACCAAGGGCCUUGGUCCUCCCAGUGUGAAAGUGCAAUGGGUGAUGUAAGGCCUCUUGUCACCCAGGCUGGAGUGCAGUGGUGCAAUCAUAGCUCCCUGCAACCUCAAACUCCUGGGCUCAAGCCAUCCUCUUGCCUCAGCCUCCCAAGUAGUGAGGACUACAGGCAUGUGCCAUCAUGCCCAGGUUAUUUAUUUAUUUUUUUAAGUUUUGUAGAGCCAAGAUUUCACUAAGUUGCCCAGGUUGGUCUCAAACUCCUGGCUUCAAGUGAUACUUCUGCCUCAGCCUCCCAAAGUGCUGGGAAUAUAGGUGUGAGUCGACACUCCCGGCUCUAUGGUAGACACUUUGGAAAUGCAAAAAGUAGAAGGCAAAGAAGACCAUUGUUAAAAUUUUGACAUAUUUCUUUUGUCAUAUUCUCCACCUACUGGGUUCAAGCGAUUCUCCUGCCUCAGCCUCUCGAGUAGCUGGGAUUACAGGCACCCGCCACCACGCCUGGCUAAUUUUUGUAUUUUUAGUAGAGAUGGGCAAUUCCUGAUGAUCAAUGAGCAAGAGUUCUCGUGGGUCUGAAGGGGUUCAGAGUGUGUUAAUGACAGGCAGGUGUUAAAAGAUGGUGUUAAGAGAUGCCUGUCCAGGUUGACUCCAAGUAAAAUUGGUGGUGAUAUUUGUUUUGUGCCAGGGAGUGUUCUAAGCCUUUCACACAGAUUAUUGUAUUAAAUUAUUAAAAUACCUCCAUGAGGUAAAGAUAAUUAAUGCCCCCAUUUUACAGAUGAAGAAACUGAGACAUAAAAAAUUUAAGCCAGGUGCCCAAGGUCACCAAGCUGAUAAGUGGUGGUGCUGGGAUUUAAGCCUAAAUACUUUACCCCGAGAACCCUAGUGUAAUUGUCUUAUUACAACCCAGAAAGUUGUGAUGUACACAUAGUUCCUCAGAUGCUUCCACUUUUUUCUCCCCUCAGGAAUGUUUAUUUUGUAAAUACUGCCCUAUCUACAACUGUAAUGAGCAUGGGUAUGCUUAUGGUCAACACUUUUUUUUUUUUUUAAAUAGAUAGAGUCUCGCUCUGUCACCCAGGCUGGAGUACAGUGGUACAAUUAUAGCUCCCUGCAACCUCGAACUCCCGGGCUCAAACUAUCCUCUUGCCUCAGCCUCCCAAGUAGCAGAGACUACAGGCAUGUGCCAUCAUGGCCAGAUUAUUAUUAUUAUUAAGUUUUGUAGAAUCAAGAUUUCACUAAGUUGCCCAGGUUGGUCUCAAACUCCUAGCCUCAAGUGAUCCUUCUGCCUCAGCCUCCCAAACUGCUGGGAAUAUAAUUGUGAGCCAACACGCCCAGCUCUAUGGUAGACACUUUGGAAAUAUAAAAGAUAGAAGGCAAAGAUGACCAUUGUUAAAAUUUUGGCAUAUUUCUUCUGGUCUUUUUUUCUAAGCACAUGGUUUUAUUUCGUCUGUUUGUUGGUUGGUUGGUCGGUUUAGUUUUUGUAGAGACAGUGGUCUAAUUAUGUUGUCCAGGCUGGUCCUAAACUCCUGGGCUUAAGCAGUCCUACCAUCUCGGCUUCCCAAAGUGCUGGGAUUACGGGUGUGAGCCACUGCACCUGGCCAAUAUGUUUAUUUUACACACAUGUGAUCAAAUUGUACAUGCAAUUUUAGUAUUUCUUUCUUCCCUUUAUAUUUAUAAAUAUAGAUUUAUAACAUGUGCCAUCCCAUGCUGUUAAAAACUUCAUAAACUUCCUUUAUGUAGGCUGCAUAAGGUACUGUUGCUUGGCAGUUCCAUAAUAUAUUUACCAUUCCAUUUAUGUUGGACAUUUGCGUUUUUUCCAGCUGUUUUUUUACUGUGGGACAAAUCUGUUCUCUCGCGCACGCUCUCUCUCUUUUUUUUUUAUGAGACAGGGUUUCCCUCCGGUCGCCCAGGCAGGAGUGCUGCAGCGUGAUCUCGGCUCACCGCAACCUCCACCUCCUGGGUUCAAGUGAUUCUCCUGUCUCAGCCUCCCGAAUAGCUGGGAUUACAGGUGCAUGGCCCUAAACCCGGCUAAUUUUUGUAUUUUUGGUAGACGGGAUUUCCCCAUGUUGGCCAGGCUGGUCUCGAACUCUUGACCUCAAGUGAUCCGCCUGCCUUGGCCUCCCAAAUUGCUGGAAUUACAGGUGUGAGCCAUCGCGCCCGGGACUAUUCUCCCUUUCUUGAUAGUUUCCCUUCUGACAUUUCCUUCCUUCUUUCUUUCUUUUUUCUUUUUUUUUGACAGUCUCGCUCUGUCGCCUAGGCUGGAGCGCAGUGGCUUGAUCUCAGCUUACUGCAAUCUCCACCUUCCAGGUUCAAGCGAUUCUCCUCCCUCAGCCUCCCAAGUAGCUGCGACUACAGGCACGUGCCACCACGCCCGGC
rnacentral:lncRNA from 10 species